rnacentral:rRNA from 1 species
UGGCGAACGGGUGAGUAACGCGUGAGGAACCUGCCUCAAAGAGGGGGACAACAGUUGGAAACGACUGCUAAUACCGCAUAAGCCCACGGGUCGGCAUCGACCAGAGGGAAAAGGAGCAAUCCGCUUUGAGAUGGCCUCGCGUCCGAUUAGCUAGUUGGUGAGGUAACGGCCCACCAAGGCAACGAUCGGUAGCCGGACUGAGAGGUUGAACGGCCACAUUGGGACUGAGACACGGCCCAGACUCCUACGGGAGGCAGCAGUGGGGAAUAUUGCACAAUGGGGGAAACCCUGAUGCAGCGACGCCGCGUGGAGGAAGAAGGUCUUCGGAUUGUAAACUCCUGUUGUUGAGGAAGAUAAUGACGGUACUCAACAAGGAAGUGACGGCUAACUACGUGCCAGCAGCCGCGGUAAAACGUAGGUCACAAGCGUUGUCCGGAAUUACUGGGUGUAAAGGGAGCGCAGGCGGGAAGACAAGUUGGAAGUGAAAUCCAUGGGCUCAACCCAUGAACUGCUUUCAAAACUGUUUUUCUUGAGUAGUGCAGAGGUAGGCGGAAUUCCCGGUGUAGCGGUGGAAUGCGUAGAUAUCGGGAGGAACACCAGUGGCGAAGGCGGCCUACUGGGCACCAACUGACGCUGAGGCUCGAAAGUGUGGGUAGCAAACAGGAUUAGAUACCCUGGUAGUCCACACCGUAAACGAUGAUUACUAGGUGUUGGAGGAUUGACCCCUUCAGUGCCGCAGUUAACACAAUAAGUAAUCCACCUGGGGAGUA